rnacentral:rRNA from 1 species
UACGUAGGUGGCAAGCGUUGUCCGGAUUUACUGGGCGUAAAGAGCGCGCAGGCGGUCGGAUCAGUCGAAUGUGAAAGCCCCCGGCUCAACUGGGGAGGGUCAUUCGAUACUGUCCGACUCGAAGGCAGGAGAGGGAAGCGGAAUUCCCGGUGUAGUGGUGAAAUGCGUAGAUAUCGGGAGGAACACCAGUGGCGAAGGCGGCUUCUGGCCUGUUCU